GACGUAGGGCGCGAGCGUUGUCCGGAUUUAUUGGGCGUAAAGAGCUCGUAGGCGGCUUGUUGCGUCAGCUGUGAAAACCCGCAGCUCAACUGUGGGCUUGCAGCUGAUACGGGCAGGCUUGAGUUCGGUAGGGGAGACUGGAAUUCCUAGUGUAGCGGUGAAAUGCGCAGAUAUUAGGAGGAACACCGGUGGCGAAGGCGCUGCUCUGGGCCGAUACUGACGCUGAGGAGCGAAAGCGUGGGUAGCAAACGAGG
rnacentral:rRNA from 1 species